GACGUAGGGUGCGAGCGUUGUCCGGAUUUAUUGGGCGUAAAGAGCUCGUAGGCGGCUUGUCGCGUCGACCGUGAAAACUUGGGGCUCAACCCCAAGCCUGCGGUCGAUACGGGCAGGCUAGAGUUCGGUAGGGGAGACUGGAAUUCCUGGUGUAGCGGUGAAAUGCGCAGAUAUCAGGAGGAACACCGGUGGCGAAGGCGGGUCUCUGGGCAGUAACUGACGCUGAGGAGCGAAAGCGUGGGGAGCGAACAGG
rnacentral:rRNA from 1 species